CACGUAGGGUGCAAGCGUUGUCCGGAAUUAUUGGGCGUAAAGAGCUCGUAGGCGGUCUGUCGCGUCUGCUGUGAAAACUCAGGGCUUAACCCUGAGCUUGCAGUGGGUACGGGCAGACUAGAGUGCGGUAGGGGAGACUGGAAUUCCUGGUGUAGCAGUGAAAUGCGUAGAUAUCAGGAGGAAUACCGAGGGCGAAGGCAGGUCUCUGGGCUGACACUGACGCUCAUGCACGAAAGCGUGGGGAGCAAACAGG
rnacentral:rRNA from 1 species